UACGGGGGGGGCAAGCGUUGUUCGGAAUUACUGGGCGUAAAGGGCGCGUAGGCGGCCUUCUAAGUCGAACGUGAAAUCCCCGGGCUCAACCCGGGAACUGCGUCUGAUACUGGGUGGCUUGAAUUCGGGAGAGGGAUGCGGAAUUCCAGGUGUAGCGGUGAAAUGCGUAGAUAUCUGGAGGAACACCGGUGGCGAAGGCGGCAUCCUGGACCGAGAUUGACGCUGAGGCGCGAAAGCCAGGGGAGCAAACGGG
rnacentral:rRNA from 1 species